rnacentral:tRNA from 1 species
AAAGAAUUAGUUAAUAGAUAAUGUGAGUUUGUCAGACUCAAGUUACCUUUGUGGUAUUCUUUU